UUUCCGACGUUUCCGUGUUGACAUUGAGUUAUAUCAACACGGCUCUUAGCCAAUCAGCGUUCAGAAUUUACAAAUGCUAUCUUAUAAGAGGGUCCUGAAGGGGUAAAAUGGGAACUGGGAUUUGCUUAUUUUUGGGUGGGAAAAUGGGAUUUCAUGCACUGGGACUGGGAUUCAUCAGCAAAAAAACAAUAGAAAAUGGGAAUGGGAUUAAGAUUAGAGCAGGACAGCCACUGAGAUGAUGGGAUUUCUGCUCUGGGACAAUGGGAUUUAGUCAAAAUUUGGGCUGGGAAAUGGGAAUACGAC